rnacentral:rRNA from 1 species
GACGAACGCUGGCGGCGUGCUUAACACAUGCAAGUCGAACGGAAAGGCCCCUUUGGGGGUACUCGAGUGGCGAACGGGUGAGUAACACGUGAGUAACCUGCCCUUGACUUCGGGAUAACUUCAGGAAACUGGGGCUAAUACCGGAUAGGAAUCCUUGCUGCAUGGUGGGGGUUGGAAAGCUUCGGCGGUUUUGGAUGGACUCGCGGCUUAUCAGCUUGUUGGUGGGGUAGUGGCUUACCAAGGCUUUGACGGGUAGCCGGCCUGAGAGGGCGACCGGCCAAAUUGGGACGGAGAUACGGCCAAGAAGCCUACGGGAGGCAGCAGUGGGGAAUAGUGCACAAUGGGCGGAAGCCUGAUGCAGCAACGCCGCGUGCGGGAUGACGGCCUUCGGGUUGUAAACCGCUUUCAGCAGGGGCGAAGCUUGUGGUGACGGUACCUGCAGAAGAAGCACCGGCUAACUACGUG